rnacentral:rRNA from 1 species
GUGAGGAAUUUUCCGCAAUGGGCGAAAGCCUGACGGAGCAAUGCCGCGUGAAGGAUGAAGGCCUAUGGGUUGUAAACUUCUUUUCUCAGAAAAGAAUUAUGACGGUAUCUGAGGAAUAAGCAUCGGCUAACUCUGUGCCAGCAGCCGCGGUAAGACAGAGGCUGCAAGCGUUAUCCGGAAUGAUUGGGCGUAAAGCGUCUGUAGGUUGUUUAAAAAGUAUUCUGUCAAAGAUUAGGGCUUAACCCUAGAUAGGCAGAAUAAACUUUUAAGCUAGAGUUUGGUAGAGGCAGAGGGAAUUCCCGGUGGAGCGGUGAAAUGCGUAGAUAUCGGGAGGAACACCAAAGGCGAAGGCACUCUGCUGGGCCAAUACUAACACUGAGAGACGAAAGCGAGGGGAGCAAAUGGGAUUAGAAACCCCGGUAGUCC